GCUUUCCCUAAAGAUCUGUGUUUAGAAGGAAGGCAGUGUAAUGUUAGCUGGUUGGAAAAUAGCAGACACUGGUUAACUUACACCUGCCCCCCUUCUUUACAUUAGUUCGUCGGUUGAUCUC
rnacentral:pre_miRNA from 14 species